rnacentral:rRNA from 1 species
UGGGGAAUAUUGCACAAUGGGGGAAACCCUGAUGCAGCAACGCCGCGUGAAGGAAGACGGUUUUCGGAUUGUAAACUUCUGUUCUUAGUGAAGAAUAAUGGCGGUAGCUAAGGAGCAAGCCACGGCUAACUACGUGCCAGCAGCCGCGGUAAUACGUAGGUGGCAAGCGUUGUCCGGAAUUACUGGGUGUAAAGGGAGCGCAGGCGGGAGACCAAGUCAGCUGUGAAACUACGGGCUUAACCUGUAGACUGCAGUUGAAACUGGUUUUCUUGAGUGAAGUAGAGGUUGGCGGAAUUCCGAGUGUAGCGGUGAAAUGCGUAGAUAUUCGGAGGAACACCGGUGGCGAAGGCGGCCAACUGGGCUUUAACUGACGCUGAGGCUCGAAAGUGUGGGGAGCAAACAGGAUUAGAUACC